rnacentral:rRNA from 1 species
UCGGUGUCUAACUGGCAUGCACGUGCUGACGUCCUGCCGGUGGCCCGAGCCGGCGGUCGAAGUCGAGCCGUUUCGGCGUUCGCGCGUCGGGCGGCGAGGCCCGGCCGUCUGGGGAAGGCCUGCUCUAACCCGUCGCGGGUGCUCUCAGUCUGAGUGUCUCGAUGGGCCGGCACGUUUACUUUGAACAAAUUAGAGUGCUUAAAGCAGGCAGCAGCCGCCUGAAUACUGAGUGCAUGGAAUAAUGGAAUAGGACCUCGGUUCUAUUUUGUUGGUUUUAGGAAUGCCCGAGGUAAUGAUCAAUAGGGACAGACGGGGGCAUUCGUAUUGCGACGUUAGAGGUGAAAUUCUUGGAUCGUCGCAAGACGGACCGAAGCGAAAGCAUUUGCCAAGAAUGUUUUCUCUGAUCAAGAACGAAAGUUAGAGGUUCGAAGGCGAUCAGAUACCGCCCUAGUUCUAACCAUAAACGAUGCCAGCCAGCAAUCCGCCGAAGUUCCUCCGAUGACUCGGCGGGCGACUUCCGGGAAACCAAAGCUUUUGGGUUCCGGGGGAAGUAUGGUUGCAAAGGUGAAACUUAAAGGAAUUGACGGAAGGGCACCACCAGGAGUGGAGCCUGCGGCUUAAUUUGACUCAACACGGGAAACCUCACCAGGCCCGGACACCGGGAGGAUUGACAGAUUGAUAGCUCUUUCUUGAUUCGGUGGGUGGUGGUGCAUGGCCGUUCUUAGUUGGUGGAGCGAUUUGUCUGGUUAAUUCCGAUAACGAACGAGACUCUAGCAUGCUAACUAGUCGCUUCCGACAUCCUUAUGCGCUGUCGGCGACACAUAAUCUUCUUAGAGGGACAGGCGG